AAGCAAAAUGACCACAUUAAAGGGCGCACGGAGGAUGCCUUGACACGAAUAGGCUAUGAAGGACGUUGCGUGACUGCGAAAAGCUUCGGUGAGCUGUCGAGCAAGCUAUGACCCGGAGAUGUCCGAAUGGGGCAACCCAAUCAUGUGAACCAUGAUUAUUCUGCGCAAGCAGGAAGCAUACUUGGGGAAGUGAAACAUCUCAGUACCCAAAGGAAAAUAAAUAGAAUUAGAUACCGUGAGUAGCGGCGAGCGAAAGCGGCACAGCCUAAACCAUUUUCAAAUUAGUUUACUAAAAUGAGGGUGGGGUAAUAGGGAUAGUACACUUGAAAUUUUAACUUCGCGCAGACACAUCGUGCGUGGAGUUAAAACUUCAUAAGAAGUUAAAAAUUCGUGCGGUAGGAGAACGGCCUUGGAACAGCCGACCAUAGCAGGUGACAGUCCUGUAUCCGAAACCAAACGAACUUCUGUAUUGUUACCUGAGUAGCCCAGGAUAAGAAUGUCCGGGGUGAAUUUGUCCAUACUACUGGAUAAGGCUAAAUACUAUUCGUGAUCGAUAGUGAACCAGUACCGUGAGGGAAAGGCGAAAAGAACCCCGGCGAGGGGAGUGAAAUAGAAACUGAAACCGUGUGCCUACAAAGAGCCGGAGCCUGCCGUCGCAAGACGUCGGGUAACGGUGUGCCUAUUGAAGAAUGACCCGACGAGUUUACUUACACCGCACUAUAAGUUCCACUGGGACGUAUGGACAGGGAAACCGAGUGUUAAUAGCGCGUUUAAGAACUUUCACCUACAAGCUUUAGGGCUUAUAGGUGAAAUGUCUUUAUGCGGUAUAGGUAAGACCCGAAGCCAGGCGAGCUAACCAUGAGCAGGGUGAAGCUUAUCGAAAGAUAAGUGGAGGCCCGAACCGUUUGAUCGCUCAAUGUCAUCGGAUGACUUGUGGUUAGAAGUGAAAAGCUUAUCGAGCUUGGUAAUAGCUGGUUCUCCCCGAAAUGUCUUUAGGGACAGCGGUAUGGAGUAAUGAAGGGGGUAGAGCACUAAUUGGUUAGCCGUGCCAGCAAUGGUAGGCCUACCAAAUAAACUCCGAAUACCUUCAUGAAAUCUAUGCCAGUGAGUACGCGAGGGCUAAGCUUCGUGUACGCAAGGGAAACAGCCCAGAUCACAAAUUAAGGUCCCAAAAUUUAUGCUAAGUGAAAAGGAAGUUCGUUGCCUUAGACAGGUAGGAGGUUGGCUUAGAAGCAGCCAUCCUUUAAAGAGUGCGUAAUAGCUCACUACUCGAUUCCGUCGCAAGACGGAGAGGCAAUGUGCGCCGAAAAUGUAUAGGGGCUAAGCAUAAUACCGAAAUUGUGGAUUCGUACAUUUACUUGUACGAGUGGUAGGGGAGCAUUCUCAACUGCUGUGAAGGUGAACUGUGAAGUUUGCUGGAGCGUUGAGAAGGGAGAAUGUUGGGAUGAGUAACCGCAUGUGAUGUGAAAACCAUCACCGCCGUAAGUCCAAGGUUUCCUCCGCGAUGGCAAUCAUCGGAGGGUUAGGCGUGCCUAAGUGUAAGGUGGCUUUAGGGCCACCGAUCAUAAUGGACAGCCAGUUAAUAUUCUGGCCCUCCAGUGUUGAUCGAAGGAGUGACGGAGAGUUGUAGGUUGACCGUAUAAUCGGAUUUAACGGGUAUAGCGUGAGGGUGGGACGCAGGAAAAUCCACGUCCAGUCGCAAGACACAUCCGAGCGCCUUACGAAUUGUCGCAAGACGAAAUUCAACUGAGCACGCUUCCAAGAAAAACUUCUAAGAUUAUCAACAUUGGAAACGUACCGCAAAACCGACACAGGUGGACUAGUAUCAGUGUACUAAGGCGAACGAGUGAUUAUUGGCUAAGGAACUCGGCAAAAAAGCGGCCGUACCUUCGGUAUAAGGCCUGCCCUUUUCAUCGCAAGAUGAUGGGGGCCGCAGCGAAAGAACCCCUGGCGACUGUUUAUCAAAAACACAACUCCGUGCUAAGCCGCAAGGCGAUGUAUACGGGGUGACGCUUGUCCGGUGCCGGAACGUUAACGGUUGAACUGGUAUGUCGCAAGAUGUACUGGGGAGGCCCGAAGCGCCGGUGAACGACGGCAGUAACUAUAACUGUCUAAAAGUAGCGAAAUACCUUGUGGGGUAAGUUCCCACGCGCAUGAAUAGCGGAACGACUGGGGGACUGUCUCAGCCAAUAGCUCGGUGAAAAUGCAAUGUCGGUAAAGAUGCCGACUACCCGCACCUAGACGGAAAGACCCCGGAAGCUUCACUGCAGCUUGGUAUUGGUCUACGAGUUGUUAUACGUAGCGUAGUGGGGAGGAUUUGAAGUCGUGCUCUCGGGCCCGAUGGAUCCGCCAAUGAAACACCCAUUUUAACGAUUUGUAGCUCUAACCGGUAGCACCCUAAGAGGGUGAAACAUAAAAAGCUAAAGUGAACUCUGGUAAUACUAAAUAGUGCAUUAUUGUACUAAUUUAGUUGGAGUGAUUUUAGAUUUUUAUUUGUUACACCUUGUUAGGGUGUUAUCGAGACAGUGCCUGGCAGGCAGUUUAAGUGGGGCACUUGCCUCCUAAAGAGUAAUGGAGGCGUUUAUCAAGGUUGGCUAGUUCCGGAUGGACAUCGGAACGAUAGCGUAAAGGCAAAAGCCAGCUUAACUGCAAGACGGAUGUGUCGCGCAGAUGCGAAAGCAGAACUUAGUGAACCGACGCUACCUCGUAGGAGGGGCGAAGAUCAACAAAUAAAAGCUACUCCGGGGAUAACAGGCUAGUACUGCCCGAGCGUUCACAGCGACGGCAGUGUUCGGCACCUCGAUGUCGGCUCGCCCUAUCCUGGGACUGAAGAAGGCCCCAAGGGUUUGGCUGUUCGCCAAUUAAAAGGGUACGCGAGCUGGGUUCAAACCGUCGUGAGACAGGUUGGUCCAUAUCUGGUGCGGGCGUUGAAAUUUGAGGGGGGUUGUCUCUAGUACGAGAGGACCGAGAUGAACGAACCUCUGGUCUGCCAGCUGUUCUGCCAAGAGCAGCGCUGGGUAGCUAUGUUCGGUGCCGAUAAGUACUGAAAGCAUAUAAGUACGAAACGGGCCCCAAGAUUAGAUUUCUUAGACUCCUUGUAGAUUACGAGGUUGAUAGGGCUUAGGUGUACGCACCGCGAGGUGCUCAGCCAAGAGCUACUAAACAGUCAUAAUUUUGAGUAA
rnacentral:rRNA from 1 species